AUUGAACGCUGGCGGCAGGCCUAACACAUGCAAGUCGAACGAGUGGCGGACGGGUGAGUAAUGUCUGGGAAACUGCCCGAUGGCGGGGGAUAACUACUGGAAACGGUAGCUAAUACCGCAUACCAUCGGAUGUGCCCAGAUGGGAUUAGCUAGUAGGUGGGGUAAUGGCUCACCUAGGCGACGAUCCCUAGCUGGUUUGAGAGGACGACCAGCCACACUGGAACUGAGACACGGCCCAGACUCCUACGGGAGGCAGCAGUGGGGAAUAUUGCACAAUGGGCGCAAGCCUGAUGCAGCCAUCCCGCGUGUAUGAAGAAGGCCUUCGGGUUGUAAAGUACUUUCAGCGGGGAGGCGUUACCCGCAGAAGAAGCACCGGCUAACUCCGUGCCAGCAGCCGCGGUAAUUC
rnacentral:rRNA from 1 species